ACGGUGUGCUUCAUGACUGGGCUGAAGUCGUAACAAGGUAGCCGUAGGGGAACCUGUGGCUGGAUCACCUCCUU
rnacentral:rRNA from 1 species